AAAUUGAAGAGUUUGAUCAUGGCUCAGAUUGAACGCUGGCGGCAGGCCUAACACAUGCAAGUCGAACGGUAACAGGAGGAAGCUUGCUUCUUUGCUGACGAGUGGCGGACGGGUGAGUAAUGUCUGGGAAACUGCCUGAUGGAGGGGGAUAACUACUGGAAACGGU
rnacentral:rRNA from 1 species